AGCCCAAAGGGUCAUGCCUCAGNUACGGCGAGUGAAGCGGCAAAAGCUCAAAUUUGAAAUCUAGCACUUUCAGUGUUCGAGUUGUAAUUUGAAGAAGGUAACUUUGGUUUUGGCUCUUGUCUAUGUUCCUUGGAACAGGACGUCACAGAGGGUGAGAAUCCCGUGCGAUGAGAUGCCCAAUUCCAUGUAAAGUGCUUUCGAAGAGUCGAGUUGUUUGGGAAUGCAGCUCUAAGUGGGUGGUAAAUUCCAUCUAAAGCUAAAUAUUGGCGAGAGACCGAUAGCGAACAAGUACAGUGAUGGAAAGAUGAAAAGAACUUUGAAAAGAGAGUGAAAAAGUACGUGAAAUUGUUGAAAGGGAAGGGCUUGAGAUCAGACUUGGUAUUUUGCGUUCCCUUCCUUUUUGGUUGGGUUCCUCGCAGUUUACUGGGCCAGCAUCGGUUUGGAUGGUAGGAUAAUGACAUUGGAAUGUAGCUUUACUUCGGUGAAGUGUUAUAGACUUUGUUGAUACUGCCUAUCUAGACCGAGGACUGCGUCUUUGACUAGGAUGCUGGCGUAAUGAUCUUAUGCCGCCCCUCCUGUAACGCGGAAUCACACCA
rnacentral:rRNA from 1 species